AACAAUGAUGUGUGUAAUCAGUAAUCAGUAGUGUAAGUGAGUGUUUACAUGCAUAAAUGUGAUAAUGCCGGGUGUUGAAAGGUGCCAAAGCAAGCAAACAAAAACAGCCACAAAAAUACCACAAUAUUAGACGCCGCCAAUGGAGACAGGUAGUCUUACUGGGGGUCUGACACAUAACGAAAAAUACAUUACAGACAACAUACAUUUAACAUGACCAUGUAGUGUGUGUAUCUAUCAGUUACACAUACAGGUCAGUACAUACACAGAACAUACAUUUAACAUGACCAUGUAGUGUGUGUAUCUAUCAGUUACACAUACAGGUCAGUACAUACACACAACCAGUAGGUCACAUGUCAGUACAGACACACAACCAGUAGGUCACAUGUCAGUACAUACACACAACCAGUAGGUCACCUGUCAGUACAUACACACAACCAGUAGGUCACAUGUCAGUACAUACACACAACCAGUAGGUCACCUGUCAGUACAUACACACAACCCGUAGGUCACAUGUCAGUACACACAACCAGUAGGUCACCUGCCAGUACAGACACACAACCAGUAGGUCACCUGUCAGUACAGACACAACCAGUAGGUCACAUGUCAGUACAGACACACAACCAGUACAGACACAACCAGUAGGUCACCUGUCAGUACAGACACACAACCAGUAGGUCACCUGUCAGUACAGACACACAACCAGUAGGCCACAUGGGGGAGAGGCGUUGUGAGGUGUUGAUUUAUCUGUUUUUUUAAACCAGAUUUGCUGUUCAGUUGCACUAUAUAAGAUGGAAGGGAGUUCCAUGUACUCAUUGCUCUGUAUAAUACUGUAUGUUUCCUUGAAUUUCUUCUGGACCUGUGAAAAGACCUCUGUUGGCAUGUCUGGUGUGUGUCAGUGCUGUGUGUAAGUUGACUAUGCAAAUCAUUUGGAAUUUCCAACACAUUAAUGUUUCUUAUAAAAACAAGAAGUGACGCAGUCAGUCUUUCCUCAACUCUUAGCCAAGAGAGACUGGUUUGCAUAGUACUAAUAU
rnacentral:lncRNA from 13 species